rnacentral:lncRNA from 1 species
GCGCUAAUCAGCACUCUGUAAAAACAGACCAAUCAGCACUCUGUAAAACAGACCAAUCAGCGCUCUGUAAAAUGGACCAAUCAGCAGGAUGUGGGUGGGGCCAAAUAAGGGAAUAAAAGCUGGCCACCCGGGCCAGCAGCAGCAACCUGCUCAGGUCCCCUUCCAUGGUGUGGAAGCUUUGUUCUUUCGCUGUUCACAAUGAAUCUUGCUGCUGCUCACUCUUUGGGUCCGCACUAGCUUUAUGAGCUGUAACGCUCACUGCGAAGGUCUGUGGCUUCACUCCUGAAGUCAGCAAGACCACGAACCCACCGGAAGGAGGAAACAACUCCGGAAGCACCACGUUUAAGAGCUGUAACACUCACUGCGAAAGUCUGCAGCUUCACUCCUGAAGUCAGCAAGACCACAAACCCACCGGAAGGAAGAAAUUCCAGACACAUCUAAACAUUGGAAGGAACAAACUCCAGACACACUAUCUUUAAGAACUGUAACACUCACCGCGAGGGUCUGUGGCUUCAUGCUUGAAGUCAGCCGGACCAAGAACCCACCGGAAAGAACCAAUUCCUGACACAAUCAGACAGAGAAUGCUGAUUCACUAUGCAGUGAAACAUGCCUAACGUGUCAACAGCUAAAUGCCCGGUGACAGUGUGGUUGUCUGGGCAACAGAAGAAGUCACCCACGCAAACACUUAAAGGACCAUACUUAUUUUACAAGAGGAACAGUUUUCAAUGGAAUGGAUAUUAAAACACACACCUGGAUCCCUUUACCACAGGUGCUUUGAGAGGCACCAUCAAGGACAGUGAGCUAACGCAGGAGAAUGGAGUCCCAGAAACCUAGGAGGAGAAGACAAAGUGUCAGCCUCUCGGCAUCUGCAGUGUUGCUAGGAAAAGAGCUCUGAUCCCAGGGGCUUACCCACUUCCACAGGUAGGAAGCGUCCCUGAGAGGACUGGAACAUUAGCAUAUCUCAGAUCCAUCUGCAAAACUUUUGCAAACACGGAACUCCCUCGUUCUAAUCUUAUCAGCAACUUCCAGAGCUGAACCUUGAUUAAUCUGGAUACAAAAAGGAUUGAAACGCCACAUAAUAAGCAUUAACAGGAGGGUGUUUCCUUUAUCAAUGAAGCUUGAUUUAUCCAUGAUGAUCUAGUGCAUUCUCCUCCCAAAAAUCAGGAUCAUCCUCUGCAUAUGAAGGAACAGACAAGCCCUCAGCUCUACCACUUUGGAGAGGGGGGGAUUGGACAGCAUGAGCCUUCAAUUGUAUCUCUUGGAUGACCAAGGAAGGCUGGAUUUCUGCACCUAAAAAAUGGAAGCACAAACUGUACAACAAAUACUCUCCAUUCAAGUUGAAGUUCUCAAAUAAGUUUUGAAAGGUUCACUCCAGCUACUCUGUUGACAAUGGAUUAUAGAAGACUGAACAUGGAAUCCAGGAGACCAGUCAGAAAACUUCUUCAGGAAUCCAGCACAGUCUUGGCCUGUUCUGGAGAAUGCUCCCCAUCAAAAAUAAUUGACUGGAGACAAGCCAAGUCAGGAUUCUCCCUGGGAUCAAUUUCUGAUGGCGCUUUCUUCAUAAACAGGGGGACCUUUUCAAAUUCCUCUUCCCACUGGUCCUCAUGAAAGCCGCCACGGUAAGGCUGGCUCUGGAACUUUUCCAGGAACAAGUCCGUGGCAUCGUCUGAGGUGGGGUCCUGCUCAGGUUACUCCAUAACUGAUGCCCUGCCCUCCAGCCCAGGUCCCGGCACCGUGAAGUGUAGAAAAUACUCUACAAUGAAUAAAAAUAAAAUACAAUAUUCAAGAUUUAUGAAUGCAAUAAAAGCAGUGGUCAGAAGGAACAUUUAAGCUCUAAACACAUUAAAAAAGAAGAA